rnacentral:lncRNA from 13 species
AUGGGGCAACUUGAGUCUAUGGAACAUAAGCUGUUUGUGCAUUUGUUGCAGUCUAUGAUAAAGUCUCAGGGUCAUGUUGUUAAACUUAAACUGUUGGAAGAAUUUUUGCAAAUAAUCCGUGAGAUCUGUCCUUGGGUCCCAGAAGGUAGUGUUUUAGAUGAAUCAGCAUGGACUAUUAUUGGGGAAAAAAUCGAUCAAUUCUGUUUUUACAACAAGGAUAUGCCACAGUCUGCCGUUUUACUUUCUGUUUGGAGUAAGCUGCGUGGUUGUGUUUGUCCUUCCCUGCCCUCCGCUCCACCCUAUACCUCCACUGCUUCUCUCCAAAAGCAACCUACAAGUCAGCUUUCUGCUCCGCUGAAUCCAGAGGGUGCUGAAGUUCCUCCCGUACCUCCAGGACAUGAGGAAAUGGCAGAGUGGGGCCCUUAUAGUCAUCACAGUGAGUAUGAUCCUAACCUGUUUGAUGUUCCAUUGACUGAAGUCGUCGUUCCACAGCCUGAACCUGCAUGGUCCACCUCUGUGAUGGCUCCUCAAUGGGUACCUGGCCACAUAACCUUAACUUUGCCUCCUAACUUUCUGCGUCAGUUUCAAGAUUUACUUUCGCUUUGUUCACAGGCGCUGUCUACUUGCCCACAACACUGUUAUCCUGUAGUUCAGGACAAUUCUUCAGCGUCCCGGGCUAUUACUCUUAGAGCCACAAAUAAUAAUCCAAUAACACCUCUUACUCAUGCUUUAAUGUCCUUACAGAGGGGAUUUACUGAAUAUGACAACUUAUUUCCAGCCCUUUUUCCAGUAAUAGAGGUACAGGAUAAUCAGGGCCAAAUUGUGAGAAAUUACCAACCUAUUCCUCCUAAAACUCUGAAAGAAUUAAAAGAAGCAGUUGCUCAAUAUGGACCUAUUUCUCCCUACACCAUAUCUUUACUAGAGAAUAUUACGGUUUCUGCCCUCCCUCCUUGUGACUGGGGAUGUGUGGCCGAAGCUUGUCUUUCUGGUGAUUACUUACUUUGGAGAGCUGAUUAUGAGGAUCGUGCCUAUAAAAUGGUGGAACAAAACUGCAGGCACCAGAUACCAGUUAAUGUAGACAUGUUGUGUGGAAAAGGACAAUAUGAGGGCCUCAAUGCGCAAGUCCUGCUGCCUGAAACUGCAUAUGCUCAAAUUAACUCCAUGGCCGUUAAGGCAUAG